rnacentral:rRNA from 1 species
AGUGAACGCUGGCGGUAGGCCUAACACAUGCAAGUCGAACGGCAGCACAGUAAGAGCUUGCUCUUACGGGUGGCGAGUGGCGGACGGGUGAGGAAUACAUCGGAAUCUACUUUUUCGUGGGGGAUAACGUAGGGAAACUUACGCUAAUACCGCAUACGACCUACGGUUGAAAGCAGGGGAUCUUCGGACCUUGCGCGAUUGAAUGAGCCGAUGCCGGAUUAGCUAGUUGGCGGGGUAACGGCCCACCAAGGCGACGAUCCGUAGCUGGACUGAGAGGAUGAUCAGCCAAACUGGACCGGAGAGACGUCCCAGGCGACUACGGGAGGCAGCAGUGGAGAAGAGUCGACAAUGGGCGCGAGCCUGAUCCAGCCAUACCGCGUGGGUGAAGAAGGCCUUCGGGUUGUAAAGCCCUUUUUUGGGGAAAGAAAAGCAGCAGGUUAAUACCCCGCUGUUCUGACGGUACCCAAAGAAUAAGCACCGGCUAACUACGUG